GACGAGCGCUGGCGGCGUGCUUAACACAUGCAAGCCGAACGGAAAGGCCCUGCUUUUGUGGGGUGCUCGAGUGGCGAACGGGUGAGUAACACGUGAGUAACCUGCCCUUGACUUUGGGAUAACUUCAGGAAACUGGGGCUAAUACCGGAUAGGAGCUCCUGCUGCAUGGUGGGGGUUGGAAAGUUUCGGCGGUUGGGGAUGGACUCGCGGCUUAUCAGCUUGUUGGUGGGGUAGUGGCUUACCAAGGCUUUGACGGGUAGCCGGCCUGAGAGGGUGACCGGCCACAUUGGGACUGAGAUACGGCCCAGACUCCUACGGGAGGCAGCAGUGGGGAAUAUUGCACAAUGGGCGGAAGCCUGAUGCAGCAACGCCGCGUGCGGGAUGACGGCCUUCGGGUUGUAAACCGCUUUCGCCUGUGACGAAGCGUGAGUGACGGUAAUGGGUAAAGAAGCACCGGCUAACUACGUG
rnacentral:rRNA from 1 species